rnacentral:rRNA from 1 species
GGUUAAGCGACUAAGCGUACACGGUGGAUGCCCUGGCAGUCAGAGGCGAUGAAGGACGUGCUAAUCUGCGAUAAGCGUCGGUAAGGUGAUAUGAACCGUUAUAACCGGCGAUUUCCGAAUGGGGAAACCCAGUGUGUUUCGACACACUAUCAUUAACUGAAUCCAUAGGUUAAUGAGGCGAACCGGGGGAACUGAAACAUCUAAGUACCCCGAGGAAAAGAAAUCAACCGAGAUUCCCCCAGUAGCGGCGAGCGAACGGGGAGCAGCCCAGAGCCUGAAUCAGUAUGUGUGUUAGUGGAAGCGUCUGGAAAGGCGCGCGAUACAGGGUGACAGCCCCGUACACAAAAAUGCACAUGCUGUGAGCUCGAUGAGUAGGGCGGGACACGUGGUAUCCUGUCUGAAUAUGGGGGGACCAUCCUCCAAGGCUAAAUACUCCUGACUGACCGAUAGUGAACCAGUACCGUGAGGGAAAGGCGAAAAGAACCCCGGCGAGGGGAGUGAAAAAGAACCUGAAACCGUGUACGUACAAGCAGUGGGAGCACGCUUAGGCGUGUGACUGCGUACCUUUUGUAUAAUGGGUCAGCGACUUAUAUUCUGUAGCAAGGUUAACCGAAUAGGGGAGCCGAAGGGAAACCGAGUCUUAACUGGGCGUUAAGUUGCAGGGUAUAGACCCGAAACCCGGUGAUCUAGCCAUGGGCAGGUUGAAGGUUGGGUAACACUAACUGGAGGACCGAACCGACUAAUGUUGAAAAAUUAGCGGAUGACUUGUGGCUGGGGGUGAAAGGCCAAUCAAACCGGGAGAUAGCUGGUUCUCCCCGAAAGCUAUUUAGGUAGCGCCUCGUGAAUUCAUCUCCGGGGGUAGAGCACUGUUUCGGCAAGGGGGUCAUCCCGACUUACCAACCCGAUGCAAACUGCGAAUACCGGAGAAUGUUAUCACGGGAGACACACGGCGGGUGCUAACGUCCGUCGUGAAGAGGGAAACAACCCAGACCGCCAGCUAAGGUCCCAAAGUCAUGGUUAAGUGGGAAACGAUGUGGGAAGGCCCAGACAGCCAGGAUGUUGGCUUAGAAGCAGCCAUCAUUUAAAGAAAGCGUAAUAGCUCACUGGUCGAGUCGGCCUGCGCGGAAGAUGUAACGGGGCUAAACCAUGCACCGAAGCUGCGGCAGCGACACUAUGUGUUGUUGGGUAGGGGAGCGUUCUGUAAGCCUGUGAAGGUGUGCUGUGAGGCAUGCUGGAGGUAUCAGAAGUGCGAAUGCUGACAUAAGUAACGAUAAAGCGGGUGAAAAGCCCGCUCGCCGGAAGACCAAGGGUUCCUGUCCAACGUUAAUCGGGGCAGGGUGAGUCGACCCCUAAGGCGAGGCCGAAAGGCGUAGUCGAUGGGAAACAGGUUAAUAUUCCUGUACUUGGUGUUACUGCGAAGGGGGGACGGAGAAGGCUAUGUUGGCCGGGCGACGGUUGUCCCGGUUUAAGCGUGUAGGCUGGUUUUCCAGGCAAAUCCGGAAAAUCAAGGCUGAGGCGUGAUGACGAGGCACUACGGUGCUGAAGCAACAAAUGCCCUGCUUCCAGGAAAAGCCUCUAAGCAUCAGGUAACAUCAAAUCGUACCCCAAACCGACACAGGUGGUCAGGUAGAGAAUACCAAGGCGCUUGAGAGAACUCGGGUGAAGGAACUAGGCAAAAUGGUGCCGUAACUUCGGGAGAAGGCACGCUGAUAUGUAGGUGAAGUCCCUUGCGGAUGGAGCUGAAAUCAGUCGAAGAUACCAGCUGGCUGCAACUGUUUAUUAAAAACACAGCACUGUGCAAACACGAAAGUGGACGUAUACGGUGUGACGCCUGCCCGGUGCCGGAAGGUUAAUUGAUGGGGUCAGCGCAAGCGAAGCUCUUGAUCGAAGCCCCGGUAAACGGCGGCCGUAACUAUAACGGUCCUAAGGUAGCGAAAUUCCUUGUCGGGUAAGUUCCGACCUGCACGAAUGGCGUAAUGAUGGCCAGGCUGUCUCCACCCGAGACUCAGUGAAAUUGAACUCGCUGUGAAGAUGCAGUGUACCCGCGGCAAGACGGAAAGACCCCGUGAACCUUUACUAUAGCUUGACACUGAACAUUGAGCCUUGAUGUGUAGGAUAGGUGGGAGGCUUUGAAGUGUGGACGCCAGUCUGCAUGGAGCCGACCUUGAAAUACCACCCUUUAAUGUUUGAUGUUCUAACGUGGACCCGUGAUCCGGGUUGCGGACAGUGUCUGGUGGGUAGUUUGACUGGGGCGGUCUCCUCCUAAAGAGUAACGGAGGAGCACGAAGGUUGGCUAAUCCUGGUCGGACAUCAGGAGGUUAGUGCAAUGGCAUAAGCCAGCUUGACUGCGAGCGUGACGGCGCGAGCAGGUGCGAAAGCAGGUCAUAGUGAUCCGGUGGUUCUGAAUGGAAGGGCCAUCGCUCAACGGAUAAAAGGUACUCCGGGGAUAACAGGCUGAUACCGCCCAAGAGUUCAUAUCGACGGCGGUGUUUGGCACCUCGAUGUCGGCUCAUCACAUCCUGGGGCUGAAGUAGGUCCCAAGGGUAUGGCUGUUCGCCAUUUAAAGUGGUACGCGAGCUGGGUUUAGAACGUCGUGAGACAGUUCGGUCCCUAUCUGCCGUGGGCGCUGGAGAACUGAGGGGGGCUGCUCCUAGUACGAGAGGACCGGAGUGGACGCAUCACUGGUGUUCGGGUUGUCAUGCCAAUGGCACUGCCCGGUAGCUAAAUGCGGAAGAGAUAAGUGCUGAAAGCAUCUAAGCACGAAACUUGCCCCGAGAUGAGUUCUCCCUGACCCUUUAAGGGUCCUGAAGGAACGUUGAAGACGACGACGUUGAUAGGCCGGGUGUGUAAGCGCAGCGAUGCGUUGAGCUAACCGGUACUAAUGAACCGUGAGGCUUAACCUU